UUCAUAUAGUUUCUUUAAUCUUUGAGAUUGUUAUUUUGGUGGUUAUAAUUAUUAUUUAUAGCAUCAGAACUGUGGAUCAGUAGUAGGAAACAUGUGAAUAUGCACUUAGGGCAGUAACAAUAACACAAGAUGGAAAUGUAACACUAAUGAAUUACAUAAGAGCUCAAAUGACACAAUGGACCUCAUUUGAUUGACAAGAGGAAUC
rnacentral:lncRNA from 1 species